CCUACGGGAGGCAGCAGUAGGGAAUAUUGCUCAAUGGGGGAAACCCUGAAGCAGCAACGCCGCGUGGAGGAUGAAGGUUUUCGGAGUGUAAACUCCUUUUGUUAGAGAAGAUAAUGACGGUAUCUAACGAAUAAGCACCGGCUAACUCCGUGCCAGCAGCCGCGGUAAUACGGAGGGUGCAAGCGUUACUCGGAAUCACUGGGCGUAAAGAGCGCGUAGGCGGGAUAGCAAGUCAGAUGUGAAAUACUAUGGCUUAACCAUAGAACUGCAUUUGAAACUGUUAUUCUAGAGUAUGGGAGAGGUAGGUGGAAUUCUUGGUGUAGGGGUAAAAUCCGUAGAGAUCAAGAGGAAUACUCAUUGCGAAGGCGACCUGCUAGAACAUAACUGACGCUGAUGCGCGAAAGCGUGGGGAGCAAACAGGAUUAGAUACCCUUGUAGUC
rnacentral:rRNA from 1 species